rnacentral:rRNA from 1 species
AUACGUAGGGGGCAAGCGUUGUCCGGAAUGAUUGGGCGUAAAGGGCGCGUAGGCGGCCUGGUAAGUUUGGAGUGAAAGUCCUGCUUUUAAGGUGGGAAUUGCUUUGAAAACUGCUGGGCUUGAGUGCAGGAGAGGUAAGUGGAAUUCCCGGUGUAGCGGUGAAAUGCGUAGAGAUCGGGAGGAACACCAGUGGCGAAGGCGAAUUACUGGACUGUUACUGACGCUGAGGCGCGAAAGUGUGGGGAGCAAACAGGAUUAGAUACCCUGGUAGUCCGCGCUGUAAACGAUGAAUGCUAGGUGUAGGGGGUAUCGACCCCUUCUGUGCCGGAGUAAACACAAUAAGCAUUCCGCCUGGGGAGUACGGCCGCAAGGUUGAAACUCAAAUGAAUUGGCGGGG